UGGGGAAUAUUGCACAAUGGGCGCAAGCCUGAUGCAGCCAUGCCGCGUGUGUGAAGAAGGCCUUCGGGUUGUAAAGCACUUUCAGCGAGGAGGAAGGUGGUGAACUUAAUACGUUCAUCAAUUGACGUUACUCGCAGAAGAAGCACCGGCUAACUCCGUGCCAGCAGCCGCGGUAAUACGGAGGGUGCAAGCGUUAAUCGGAAUUACUGGGCGUAAAGCGCACGCAGGCGGUUUGUUAAGUCAGAUGUGAAAAUCCCCGGGCUCAACCUGGGAACUGCAUUUGAAACUGGCAAGCUAGAUCUCGUAGAGGGGGUAGAAUUCCAGGUGGUAGCGGUGAAAUGCGUAGAGAUCUGGAAGGAACUACCGGUGGCGAAGG
rnacentral:rRNA from 1 species